CCCCAGAGUCCCCGAUUUAGCCGCUCAUGAGCUCGUGGUAUUUUCCUUAUAUGAUCAGGCUCCAUUGCUGGUGAUGCCACUAGCCUGGAGCCUGAAAAGAUUAUGAAAAUGUGUCUGGCGAAGUGGGGCUGGGGACCGGGGG
ensembl:scaRNA small Cajal body-specific RNA 17